AUUGAACGCUGGCGGCAGGCCUAACACAUGCAAGUCGAACGAGUGGCGGACGGGUGAGUAAUGUCUGGGAAACUGCCCGAUGGAGGGGGAUACCUACUGGAAACGGUAGCUAAUACCGCCUACCCUCGCAUUUUCCCCGAUGGGAUUAGCUAGUAGGUGGGGUAACGGCUCCCCUAGGCGACGCUCCCUAGCUGGUCUGAGAGGAUGACCAGCCACACUGGAACUGAGACACGGUCCAGACUCCUACGGGAGGCAGCAGUGGGGAAUAUUGCAAAAUGGGCGCAAGCCUGAUGCAGCCAUGCCGCGUGUAUGAAGAAGGCCUUCGGGUUGUAAAGUACUUUCAGCGAGGAGGCGUUACUCGCAGAAGAAGCACCGGCUAACUCCGUGCCAGCAGCCGCGGUAAUUC
rnacentral:rRNA from 1 species